AUGGCGGGUUGCAAUCGCCAUAUUAUCAACUCUGACAAUAUGAAACUAAUUGACACAAUGAAGAAUGGAGGACAAUCGGCAGGGGCAGUGGCCGCAGUAUUUGACGAUUGCUACUUUAUGGGAUGUGAUUUUCCGAUUACUAGGCUUGAACAUUGUAAUAGGGAUGCAAAUAAGGUUGCUCGUGAACUUGCUAGGCUAGAAAAAAUUUCCGUGACAAGGUAUUGAUUUGAGGAGCCUAUGGAGGAUAAUUGUAAUCUUUUUGUUGACGAUGUAACUGUUAUUUCUCAUUGA
rnacentral:rRNA from 1 species